UGCAUAUCCCAAAAGCGGAGGAAAAGAAACCAACAGGGAUUGCCCCAGUAACGGCGAGUGAAGCGGCAACAGCUCAAAUUUGAAAUCUGGUCCCCUAGGGGCCCGAGUUGUAAUUUGUAGAGGAUGCUUUUGGUGAGGUGCCGCCCGAGUUCCCUGGAACGGGACGCCACAGAGGGUGAGAGCCCCGUCUGGCUGGCCACCGAGCCUCUGUAAAGCUCCUUCGACGAGUCGAGUAGUUUGGGAAUGCUGCUCAAAAUGGGAGGUAUAUGUCUUCUAAAGCUAAAUAUUGGCCAGAGACCGAUAGCGCACAAGUAGAGUGAUCGAAAGAUGAAAAGCACUUUGAAAAGAGAGUUAAAUAGCACGUGAAAUUGUUGAAAGGGAAGCGCUUGUGACCAGACUUGGGCGCGGCGGAUCAUCCGGGGUUCUCUCCGGUGCACUUCGCCGCGUUCAGGCCAGCAUCAGUUCGCCGCGGGGGAUAAAGGUUUCGGGAACGUGGCUCCUCCGGGAGUGUUAUAGCCCGUUGCGUAAUACCCUGAGGUGGACUGAGGACCGCGCAUCUGCAAGGAUGCUGGCGUAAUGGUCACCAGCGACCCGUCUUGAAACACGGCCAAGGGGAGUCA
rnacentral:rRNA from 1 species